AUUUUAACAUGUUGUUGAGACAUUUUCCAGUAAUGUUCAACAAGCCCUGUGUGGAAGAAAAGGGAACAGAUGGUGGGGCUAACUUCAUAUUGAUAGAGGUGGGCCCUGACGUCAAGUACUAAGCAAUGUCCAAACAUACUGAAGGACUGAUGCAAAGAAUGUGGAGAGACAAGAAAUCACCAUGAGGGAAAAAUUCAAGUCCAGUGGAUCUGAUGAAAAGUGGCCUUUUAAGGUGAGACUGUUAAGUGCUAGAUUUGAGAUAUAAAUAAAUAUGUUAUUAUGUUAUUUCAUACAAAAUGAACUUUAAGAUAUGUUCUUUCCUAUGGCAAGAGUUAUAUGGCAUAUGCCUUAUGAAUGAAUUCUAAUGUGAAGCAUUACUUUGCUAAUGUUAAUAUGAACAUACUUGGUUUCUUUCAUUUAAAAGAUACCUAGGAAAUGUUUAGUAAAUAAAUGCCCAACCACUACUUUAAAAAAUUUAAAAGGCAGAAAAUGCAUAGAUUAAAAGACAAUUAAAGGAGACAUCAACCAAAUGCAAUAUGGAGCCUGGACCUUGUUUGAACUUUAACGAAAUGUCUGUGAAAAGAUGUGUAUGUAACAAUCAAGGAAACUGCAACAUUAACUUGUUAUUUGAAAAUAUGAAUGACAUUUUCAUUGUUGCUUAGGUUUGAUACUUAGACGCAAGUUAUGUUUUCAAAAAGCCCCCCCCCCAAUUUUUUUCUUCCAGACAAUCAUAUUAAGUCAGUUCAGAUGAAAUUAAAUAAUCUGAAGCACAAAAUUUGCUUUAAGCAAGUUUGGGGGACAUGGAGACAGCAAAAUUGACCACAAGAUGAAAUUAUGUUGACCUUAACCAAAUAUCCUCCCAACAAUUAAAACAAUAAAUAGAACAAAGAAAAACUUUCUGUUCUCAUUUUAAGAGGCUGCAUCCUUUACUUGGGCAACAACCAUUUCAAUUUGACAUAAAUUAUAAACAAUUAAUUAACCUGACUUAAAAAGUCCAACCUGCCACAUGGCAACAAAAAGAGUAUUAUUUAUUCCAUAUUCAUUUCCAUUUGAAUAAGAAAUUUAAAUAUAAAGGAGUUUCAUUAAGGUCAUGAAAUAUUAAAUAAGCAGUUUAUAUUUAAUGAAAUGAAUUCAUAACACCUGUACCCAAUGGUCAAUUUACAUGUAUUUAGUUUUUUAUUUCACUCUUCUUUGCUCUCUAGGAUUAUUUCACACCACCAGCUUUUAUAAAUUAUGUAUUUUUUUAAUGUGCACCGGGAAACUUGAAAAGAUAGCAUAUAUUUGGUGGUAGGGAACAGUUGUCCUAAAAACUAAGAAGUAUUGGAAAUAAUUUUCAGGAGACCGUCAAACUAAAGUGAACAACUUUAGCCAUAUUAUUUAGGAUAUUCACUGGAUAAUUACACCCCACACUUCAAGUUUCUUGAGUAUUUUGAACACUUAAUGAUAGUAUCUCUAUACAGAUUAAUAAAAUAUAAAACAGAACAUAGCAAAUGUUUUUCAGUUGGGCUGAAAGUUGCAGAUUCUGUAUUUUAUUAGCAGCUUCUAUUCUCAAAUCUUCAAAAACAUGAUGAAAAUUUCAUUGAUAUAAUCAUGUAUUUUCUGCUGGUAAAAUUAUAAAUUACUUUCCUAUAGCAGAUUCAUAAAAAGGACCUUAGUCUUCUGUGUUAAAAGGCUGUUUUGUUUAUUACAGAUUUCACAUCUAAAAAUUGAUAUUUUAUCAAAAUUGAGAUUGGCCCUGUCAAAUGUAGAAACAACCACAUUUAUCUCAAAUAUUUUCAUUAGAUUAAACCAAAUUGUUUUAUCAUAAAAAUCAAGGAAUUUCCAUGUCUGUAUGUAUCACACUUCACUGAUAUUCUAAAUAAAUGUUAUUUGAAAAUAAAAUGUUCCAUAUAAAUGUGUCCUCCAGCAGAUAGUUAAACUAUAAAUCUAGAGGAAUUGGAAGUUAAUGAUUAAAGAAGAGGAACAGAAUGAGAUGUGGAGAACAAAAUGGAGGAGAAAAACUAUACAAAAAUUCCCUUGGAGCAAUUCAUUAAAUUUGGUUAUUGCAGCAAAAAUACAAAAUGAUAUUUUAGAACUUAAAGUAUUUCCACACUGAAUAAUUUCAUUUUUCAUCUUCCAUAUGUAGGGACACAAAAAAACAUUAAAAAGGUACAUUUAUUCUGACAAGUAAUAUUCAAGUUGGAAUUUCAUGUUUUGGGGCAAUUUAAAUAUGCCCUGCAAUUUAGGUUAUUUGAGAAUUCCUUUAUGAAAUAAAUUAAUUGGCAUAAGAGAAUUAUAUGUAGACAGGCAUUAAAACAUUUAGAUAAGUCAUAGUUGAGGAAAAAAAUUUAUCCAAAUUAUUAAAAUGUGAAGCAGUUCAAUAAAUCUAACUUUUAGCUUUUUAAAUUGAGCUGAUCAAAUCAAAUGCAACAGUAAGCCUGACAAUUGAUAAGGGGCCCAAAAUAAUCUGUCCUCUGAGAAGAGAAAGAAAAUGGUAAUGUAAAAUACUCUGGCAAAUUUUUAAUUUUAAGCUAAAUUGCAAUUCAUGAGCAUCUAAAACAGACUCCAGCCUCACUUCUUACAAACUCUUUAUCACUAAUACUGCAGUUAAAAGAUCAUCUCAGUUUUUUGGGUUUUUUUUAGACUUUAUGUCAAAUAGCCUUUUUGCAAAUUAAAUUCAAACUUCUUAAGUAAAUUUUAGGCAUCUGUAUGAAUUCUAAGCACCUUGGUAAAAAAAGAAACACAAGGUUAGUAAUAUUCUUAAAAGAUGAAAAAUAAAUCUAUAAAAUAUCUAUUAAAAACAGAAAGGGGUCUGGGUUUGUGGCUGUGUGGUAGAUAGAGCAUUUGCCCAGCACAAGUGAGGCACUGGGUUUGAUCCUCAGCACCACAUAAUAAAUAAAUAAGAUUAAGGUAAACUGUGUCCAUCCACAACUAAAAAACAAAAAACAGGGGUUGAGGUUGUGGCUCAGUGGUAAAGCACUUGCCUAGCUCUACUGAGGCACUGGGUUCGAUCCUCAGCACCACAUAAAAAUGAAAUAAAGAUAUUGUGUGUCCACCUACAACUAAAAAUUAUUUUUAAAAAACCAAAAACCAAAAAAAAAAAAAAAUCAGAGUUGGAUAAUCUGUUUCCUUCUUUUGUUCUUGUUCUCUCUCUCUGCAGAGGAAAAUUAUAGACAAACUUCUAAGAAAAAAACAGCAUUGAUUUCACAACCAAGAACAAUGCUUCCUUUCCUUUCAUCUUGGUAUUUGUAUAUUUUCACAAAGCUGAGAUUAUCUUAUUUAUGUAAUGUGGGAUAUUGUAUAUUUAUCAUUUUAGCAUAAGUAUUUUCCUAUUUUUACACACUGUUGUAAUAUCACAUUUGGAAAAAAAAAGUUCUGCAAAACAGUGUAAAAUAUGUAGUUUGUAGUCAGGUGUGGUGGUGUACACCUGUAAUUAAUGACUUGGGAGGCUGAGGUGGGAGAAUCACAAGUUUUGAGAGCAUCAAACCUAAUUGGCACAGGAUACUAUGUGAUUCUGGGUCCUGGAAGGAGUCCAAAUUUUCCUAAGAACUUUCAUUGGUGGGACAUUUAUGAAAAGUCUGUUUUCAGAAGUGUUAACACUGUAAAGAAACCAGCAAGGGAUCCAGGAUUCUUCUUCUUUCAGUGUUCCAUGAUUCUGCAGGUAGCUCCCAUGAGGCAACAGGCUCCUCAUCAGAAAUACAAGCAACAAAAGGACAAGCAAGUGAUGCCUUCUAUAGCACCAGUCUGAGAAAACCACAGAAGAGCAGAAAAGGAUGAACAAUACAUCUACAAGGGUUGGGGCAAAGGGAAACAUGCUCAGCAAUGUAGAUCAGAGGACAAAUUUACAGAUAUUUAGAAACUAGAUGAAAAAAAUAAAAUCUGACAGCCAAUGGGAUGCAAGAAUACGUGAAGAUGAUGUAGUCUCAGUAACUUCCAAAUUUCUGCACUGGGUAACUAAGUGACUGCUGCUAUCAAGAACACACAUAGACAGAGUGAAGGUUGGAAUGAAUGGGUUUGACUUAGAUCUGUUGAGUUUCCGCUAUCUAUAGAUAGAAAUUUUGAUGAUCAGUUGGUUAUCAGGGCUUGCCACUGGGGAGAUAGAGCUUGGCCUCCCAUUUCUAGAUUUCAGAUAAACUAUUUAAAAAUAAUUUAUAGAAUCAAAUGUAAAUUCCUUGAUACCAAUUUCUUAUCUUUCAGAGAAGCCCUUUUAAAACAAUUUAUAGAAUCAAAUGUAAAUUCUUUACAAUGGCAUUCAGGAUCUAUUGCAAUCUGACUACCUUUUCUUAAUUUUAUUACUCACUGCAUAUUCCAUGCAUUCUGUUUGGCUAAGCAUGCACAUUCAAAACAUACCAUGCUUGUGUGGUUCCUUUUAUAUUAAAUCCCCAUCUUUCUUUGCCUAUGAAAAUCAAACAUAUCUUUAAGGAUACAGCUUACUUGCAGGUGCAGGCACCUUCCCAAAGCCUUUGCCAAUUUUAUUAACCUAAAUUAAUUGUAUCCUCACUUGUGCUCCAUCUACAGUAUAUUUGUACUUCAGUGUUUAUUUCAUUCAGCUUUGUUGCUUACAUACUGCAUUCUCAGGGGCAAUAAGCUAUUUGAGAGUGAGAGUGUACGUUGGUCAUUUUUGUAUCAAAAUGUAACAAUAAAAUUUUCUAAAUUAUUCAUUGUUUCUCCAAAGCAUCAACUGUAGAUAUUUUCAAGCUAUGCACAAGCAAAUAUAUAUAUAUAUAUAUAUAUAUAUAUAUAUAUACACACACACACACACACACACACACACACACAUAUACACACACAUACAUAUAUAUUUUUAAAUAAAUAUUUGUGUUGUUUCAUUUUGAAUUUCUUAAAAUUCUAGAGAGAUUUCUUUUCAUUCUUUUUUUAAAAUAUAGUGUAUUGGGGAUCAAACCUAGGCCUUACACAUGCUGACAAGUGCUCUGUCACUGAGCUACAUUCUUAACCAUGAUUUUUCUUUUCUUUUUAAAUUAUUUCUUAGGGAAUAGGGGUGGUAGGGAAAGGGAGGGAGAAGGGGAAUAGUAAGGAUGAUUUUUCUUUUUUUUUUAAUUUUUUAUUGUUGGCUGUUCAAAACAUUACAUAGUUCUUGAUAUAUCAUAUUUCACACUUUGAUUCAAGCGGGCUAUNUAAUGCCAUCCAUUUCCCUGUAAAUUCUAUGAUUUUGUCAUUUUUUAAUGCAGAGUAAUACUCCAUUGUGUAUAAAUGCCACAUUUUGCCCUUCAAUAGAUGAAUGGAUGAUUUUUCUUAAUAAAGCACCAUCUCAGAAUUAUAUGUUUCAUUUGAAACCCAUGGAGUUCUGGGAGGGAGCUGGAAUGGAACAGACAGACAGACAUUACUGCCCUAUUGACUGGUCCUCUGGUUCUAGGAAUAUUUUAUGUAUGAACACAUGUAUAAGACAGCUAGACCCUAAAGGUCAUCUGCCUGAUAUUUAAAAUGCCAGUAUAUCCUGAAAUAUAUUCUAAAUGACAAAUGUAAAAACUGUAAAUAGCAUGGAUCCUAGUAAGUUUGGAAUAAUAACACUUGCAUAGUGGAAAGUCAAAUUAUAAGAUCAAACUUCUCAAGAACAGUCCUGUGUAUUGGGUAAAACAUGUACUGUUAUUUCUGUGAAUACAAAUACACAUAAAUGACAAAAAGCAAAAGAUACAGAAACUAAUAUUUGUAUAAAAUCACACAGUAAGUGAUAAAGCUAUGAUUCAACCUACUUUUCAUGUAGCUCAGUACUCAACUACUGUUCCACAUGACCCCAGUCCCCUGCCUGAAUCAGGCGGAUAAUGCAUAUAUAACAGGGUUUCUAGAAUAUAGUGGCCAUCUUUAUUGGUAGAAUAUGACUCUAGAUUUAUGGUUAAUGCUCCAUUAAUAAUAAAUGGCAAAGAAUACUUGAAUGCAGUUUUCCAGUCUUAGAACAACCAUUACCAUGUUCUAAGCCCUGUUUCAAAGUUCUGGCCAUCUUCAUGAGAUUGUCAAUGAGUGAAACUAAUAUUAAAUACUAUUUUUUCCCUAUAGCCUAUGGUGAACAAAUCUGAAGCCAGUCUAGGCAGAAUUUUAGUCUGUGAGGCUCAAUUUCAAAUGCAUUAAAAUUCAUUAUAGAUGUGUUUCAAUGUGUGCAUAAAUCAUAUAAUACAUCAAAGCUAUAGUUAAGAUUUUUUUUUCUAAAAAUAUAUACCUAAAAAGUGAUUACUUGAAAAAUCUCAUUAAUUUAAAAAUUGUAAAUUCAAUAAUCACAAUAAAUAAAAUGUUCAACAACUCUAGAUAGGGCAGAGGGGUGGGAGGGAAAGGAAGGGGGCAGGGGGUUAACAAGGAUGGUGGAACGUGAUGGACAUCAUUACCCAAAGUACAUGUAUUAAGACACGAAUUGGUGUGAACAUACUUUGUAUAAAACAGAUAUAUGAAAAAUUGUGCUGUAUAUGUGUAAUAAGAAUUGUAAUGCACUCCACUGUCAUUUAUUUUUUUAAAAAAAUCAAUUAAAAAUUUAAAAAAUGUUCAACAAUGGUAGUAUGUAUAGGGCACUGAAACAAGAUAUAUUUCAGAUUUCUUAAAGAAGCUCUUCUCCUUGGAGGAAGAACCACACUUAAGAAGCAAUAUUCACAAUGAAAGAACCUUGCUUAUCAGGGGGUCAGAACUCUAACAUAAUGGUGCAUAAAAGAAAUUCCUCAGUUGCUAAUAAUGAAAUGGAGGACAGGCUGGGGAUAUAGCUCAGUGACAGAGAGCCUGCCUAGCAUGUGCAAGGCUCUGGGUUCAAUCAUUUGCAUCACACACACACACACACACACACACAAAGAGAAAGAAUUUGAGAGUUGAUGUGUCACUAAAUACAUAAAUUCCCAUUUGUAGAAUACUCUUUGUCAGCAUUUGACAGACUACUUUCACACCCACAAAAUCCUAACAAGGAAGAGAUCUUCAUUUGGUCAACAAAUAAGGGGGUAAUAGAUGUGUUUUAUUUCCCAAGUAUUAUGCCCACUUACUGUUUCCAUCUUCUGGUUUUUGGUCAAGGAGAGCCUUAAAUAAGUAAUGUUUAUUUUGUAUUUCUUGGAUGGAUAUUUUUCUACAAUAGUGACCUAUAUCACAUCUGUUUCCUGCCCUUCCUUAAAGAAAAAUCAUAUGGUGACUUAUUCAUUCUAAAUGUGUUAAAACAAUAUGCAUGGCCUUUGGUCUGUUACCAAGCCAAUAUAAAAAUUGUUUCAUUAAAUGUUAGCAUUAGGGCUGGAAAUGUAUUUCAGUGGUAUAGUAUCUACUUAGCAUGUGUGAGGCCCUGGGUUGUAUCCCCAGCACUCCAUUAUAGAUUGAGUUCUUUGAAAUCUUGACAUACAAUCUAAAAUUUGGUUAAUACUACAGUCUUUAUAUGGAAACUUAUAUGGAAUAGAAGAAAUUCUUACACUGAGUGAAGACAUAAAUGAAAUCAACUCUGAUCUUGGAGGUGCCAUCAAACUUUGAUAUUCUAUGAUCUUGUUUUUUCAAAAAACUCUUAAGACAUUCCCCAUGAAAAUAUUAUCAAGACCUCUUUUCAACAGUAGUUAGCUCCUUAUGAGAAAGCUAAAGAGAUGUUAUAUAGAAUCUUGAAAACAAAACUCAGUUUAAAGCCAAGAGAAUAAAGAACUGAAGAGUUACAGUGUUGAACUUAUCAGAAUGACUACCAGCAUUGUUCAAAAAAUUAGGCCCUCUGAUUUUUUUACACUUGCAUUUUAGCAAUAGUGAAUAGUUCUUUAUGAUUCUUUGUUAUUUUUCCAUAGUAUUUCCAAACCAUUGAGAUAUAUAAGUAAUAUCAAAUGAAACAAAUUCUUAAAUACUAUUUGACUGAAUCAACAAUGAUAGGAAAAAUAUUCUUUAGUUUAAAAUAUAAUGAUUAAUACAGGUAAUAGCUUUUCUAUACUAACCAACAAAAAAGCUGCAAAAUGUUUCUAGUAUUUGUAUUUUUUUACAGUUAACUGCUGUUCAUAGAGAGGUACAUGGAACAAUGGAUGCAGAGCACAUAUUUUAAAGUAGGCUUUUUCCAUAUAACUGUAAGGAAGUUUAACUUUGAUGGUAGUGUUCAUCCUGAACACAUUACAAUAAUAAAACAAAAUGGGCUGAAUUUCAUUGUAAUCAAGGAAGAAUGUCAAACUAAAAUUUCACAUAUAUAUGCUGGAGGAAAAAGACUGUAUCUGGCUGCAGCUAUGAAUGUAGACUCCUAUGUGUUGUUAUUCAGUUGCAAUAUAUUACUAGGAUUUAAAUAUAAUUCUUAGCCACAUCCUCUAUCCAUCAAAUCACCAUUUUUAAAAUCACCUAUUAACUUAAGGAAUACUCAAAAUUUUGUCUUGGUGUAACUAAACACUAUAUUAUACUGGAUUGAGAUCUAAGUUGAGAAAAAUAAUUAAAGUUUUCUUAAUUUUGAUGAUAAAAUCUGAAAAACAUGGAUACCAAAGCACCGACUCAAUUUAGCCCAUGUAUGUUAUCUGUGGAGAAUCACUGUUACAGAUUCUAGUACUUUUAUCUGUUCUUAGUGGAAUAAAUGACCUACUUUAUUUCUAAAUUGAACAAGACAUUUUGUAUGUUAUGCUCUUUUGAAAACUCCAUUUAAGCAGAAUUUAGAUUCUCUAUAGAGACAGAACAGGAUGAUUGGUUGAAACAAAGAAUUUUCUUCAUUUGUGAUUUUAACAAGGAUUUCUUUUCUUUCUUCUUCUUUUUUAAAGAAUAGUAAGUGCACUGGGAUGGAUGUAAAAGAAGGGAGACCAGGAAAAUACAUUUAAAUGACAUGAUAUGGAGACUUUUAUUCAUAAAAUAAAAGAAGAAAGAUAACAGAUAAUGUAAAUAGGGUAAGCAGAGGCAUAUGGUUCUUACACAAUGGAGAAAAAAAUCCUGUUUAUGAAUGCAAAUUGGGAAAAAAACAGAAAUGGACAAUUCACAAUACACAGAGAAUAAUGUAUGAUGAAAGAUCAUGAUUCUAUGGCCAAAGCCUGUUUUUACUUUCAUUUUAUUCAAUUUUCUCAAGUCCACCUCUAUUGUUUAUAUUCUUACAAAUGUUGAAUAGAAAUGAAUGCAUUCCUCUGGCUAAUAUGAAAGCCGCUAUAGAGGUAUAGAAAGAAUCUAGCAUGGCUCCAAACUACUGGACAGUUUUAACUUUCUCUACAGCAAAUAAAUGUCCCCUGGCUCCUCUUCUUCACCUCUUCCUCUCUGAAUGGAAACAGCAACAGCGAAGACUUCCCUCGGAGAAGCACCAUACUACAUUCCUCCUGUCUGCCUCAACCACCAUGGCCAAGGCCUUGGGAAGCAUUUCCAUGCCCAGCCAGAAUAGAAUAUCUUUCCUUUUCUUUACACAUAAUUGACCUUCCAUUCUUUCUCUCCUUUUCCCUCUGCUCUAUUCUCUUUUCUCUUCCCUCCCCUAUCAUAUUCUCUCUCUCUCUUCCCCUCCCUGCUACCCUCCCUCACCCCCUCGUUUUCCUUUUUUGGUCCUUGUUAUAUAUUUUCCCUUAAUCUCUCUUUUCUCAGUAUUUGCCACCCAACCUUACCUGCCAACCAUGGCUGGCAUGGCUGCAGCCAAACUCUGCUUCUUACUAUUUCCUAGUCAUACGGUUCUAGCACUACUGUCAACUGACCUCAGUCUCUGACUCUUAGUCUAAUCUCUUUGGAGCACUCAUAGAAUAAACAGUCAAGACCAGGGUAGGCAGAGGUGGGGCUAUAUUACUCCCUAUUUAAAAAGCAGGUAUCUUGAGUUUACAUUCUAUGCUAGGCAUAAGGAGAAGUAUUCACCAGGGCUGCAGAGGAGGGCAGGGCAUAUGGAAGACUGUUUAUCUUAAAUGCCUUUAGAAAAGGGUGGAGUGACAGUGAUAUAGAUUAGAAGAGUACUUAAUAUUUGGACAACAGUACUUGUAGAUAGAAAUGGUAGUAUCUAUGGAUUCCCUCAACAGUGUACCUUAGGACUCUUGGAAGAUAAUGGUACUCACAGUUUUUGAACAAGUUUUUUGCUAAGGUGGACUUGAUAUUUGCCUGCAUGUCAGCAUGGGUACUAAGCAUCACCCCCAAACACUAUUAAACCUGUGAAAACCAACUACUUUGUAGAAUUUUCUAGAACAGAAAAAUAGUCUUUCACUUGUAAGUUUUUUUUUAAAAAAACAUUGACUCAUUAUUUAAUCAAGCAUUAAACAAUAUCUAAGCAAACACUUAAAACUAUUUGGGAUUAGUCCAAGGAGACAAAGUUAGCAGCACAUAGUCUUAACCAAAACGAGAAGGACAAAAACAAUCUAGGACAUACAGGACAGUUUUCGAUCUAACAAAAAAUGCUUCCUCUAGUCAUUUCCAGAUAAGUCCUGACUCAACUCCUCAGUAAGAAGGAGCUGGCCAGUGAGGUAAGAACCUACCCCUGUGUGUGUGAUAUCGAAGCAUUUAGAAGAGCCAGGGGCAGUAGUGCAUUUGUAUAAUUCUAGCAACUCCAGAGGCUAAGGCAGGAGGAUUGCAAGUUCAAAGCCAGUCUCAGCAAUUUAGUGAGGCCCUAAGCAACUUAGCAAGACCCUAUCUCAAAGUAAAAAACAAACAAACAAACAAACAAACAAACAAAAAACAGGAAAUAAAAAGGGAUGGGGAUGUGGCUCAGUGAUUAAGCAUCACUGGGUUCAAUAGCCGAUACUUCCCCCCGCAAAAACAAAAACAACAACAACAACAAAAAACCCAGAAAAUAAAAAACAAACAACAAGAGGAUGAGUGAAAAACUCAUUCAAGGUGCUUUUUGAUAAGGAUGACUUCAGAAUUGUUAAGAAUGAAUGAGCAUUACAUUAAUGGAGUUAGGAAAUGAGAAAAUAAAGACUAAUAUCCAAUAGAAAAAUUAUUAAGACAAAUACAUGCAGCCAUUAAACAUAUAAAAAGAUGCAAAAUACCUCAAAGGAGAAAACUGAAAUUUUACCUACCAUCUUUUCCAAAAACAUCAAAGUAAUGAACAACACUCAAUGUUAGCAUGUGGUGAGAGAAAUGGGCACUUACAGGAAAUCUCAGUGGUAGUAUAAAUUGAGUCAAUGCUCUUGGAUGUCAGUCCAGCAAUGUUUUUUACAUGUAAUAGGUGAAUAAAUCAUAUCCUUCAAUAAUACCAGCCAGUUCUCUGAACUUACCCUGAAGAGAAAACCUUACUCAAAUAUAUAGAGAUAUAUGUGCUUUCUGUAAUUGCAUACAAUUGUAAAAAAUGGGAUUGUCCAGUAAAUAACAGGGCAUCACUGUUAUGGCACACUUGUAGAAUUGAAACAGGCCCAGUUUAAAAAGUAUGUUAAAUGUGAAACCAUUUAUUGAAAUAAAAAAAUAGAAAAAAACUGUAAUAAUGAAAUUAUCAUUUUUAUUAUCUUCUAUAUAUUGCCUUGUGAUAUAAGAGUAUUAGAAGUAUAAUUAGUUCUACUUUUCUGAUUACCCAAAUAAGUUUCCUAAAUAUUUUGAAAAUAAACUGCAUAAAUUUCAUCUUUCACAUUGGGGGGUCAAGUCAGUUUAAGUAAGUCAUUUUUAUUUUAUUUCAAAACCUGAAGUUAAAGAACCACUGAGGUGCUUGUUCACAGAGAGAGGAAAAAGGAAAUAAUUAGCACUCCUCAAAAUUUCUUAAUAGGAAUUCUUUUUGCCUUAGUUAUAGGUAUAUAAAAUGUUGGGCAUUACUUGUGGAAUAUUAGACAUAAAAUAAGAAGAACAAUCUGACUCAUAGAAUAAGUGGAGGGUUUUUCCUGGUAUUCUAUAGUCCUUUUCUUUUAGGACAAACACUAAAUUGUGGAAAAAUGUCAAAAAUAAGAACAGUAAGACAAUUGAGAAGGGCAUGUGUUGUUCCUGCCCCUCUAUCCACACUGAAGAAAAAACACAUUGGAAACACUAUGAUCUCAAUAGAGCUGAAGACGGAAACAGGAGAACUGGACAAUUUGUAAUAAUGUAUUUCCCCAAAAGAAGAAAUCCAUGUAGUACAUGGUGGACCUGCAACAGCUCUCUCGGUGGAAGCUGGCAGAGUCAAAACAAUGGAAACACAACAAAAGAUGACUAAAAACAAAGGCAUUUAUAGAUCUGCAAGUGCUUCUUAAAUGGAUCUUGGGGCAUUUGGGGACAGAGCUUUACUUUUCCCAAUUCACAUCAUGAAUUAUCAUUGCUCUCCCUUCUCAAUACAUUGCAGCUAAUUCCCAAUGUCAGAAACAAAACACUCAAGUUUAGGAAAUAAUAUUUAACUCAAUAAGUCAAUCCCUGUGCUACAAGUUAGAUAAGAAAUAACUGUGCUGAAAGUGACUCGGUUUUAUGAUAGCAAAUCCACAAAUUAUAACUGAAAAUGAAAUCAGUCUUAUCGUCCCUACAUAGGGAGGACUUAGAUGGGGAGACAUCUGACUUCAAAUGGCUUGAAAAGAAGCAAAGAAGGGUCUACACAGGAAGGAAAAAAAAAAACAUUCAAACUAUCUACCUGUCAUUCAAAUGCUACAUCUGUCACUAGAUAACAUUCACCUGUCAGAGUUACAGUGCUUAAUCACCUUAAAUUACUUCUCUGUAAAUCUGGUUAAUAAAAAUGAUGUGUAUGUUAAAUACUAAAAUAUCUUCAAGGACAUCCCAAGGAAGAAUUUAGAAACUCUGCCACAUAAUUUUAACCAGCAACUGUUAUUUCUUUUAUGUUUCAACAUUAAAGGAAUGAAUAAAGGAAGCAAUGAUAUUUUAAUAAGAAUAUCUAUAAUAUUUGAUUAGAUUUUUAUAUUAUAACAAUACUAUGUCACAAAAUUUUAAAAUUUUUCUUUCAAUAAAGAUGUGAUUUGUUAUAUAUUCUUUCAUAUGACAGAAAAUUCUUUAACACAGUGGCUUCAGGGAAUAAGAUUAUGGCUUCUAUUUGCCUUAUUAAUAACAGGCAUUUACCUCAUUUGUUCAAGAGGGUAACAAUAUAUGAUUUUUUUACAAUCAUGAGAAACAAGGUAAGCCUGAUACAAUUUUACUUAUUGAUAUUCAUUAUGGAGCUAGAUAUGUAUCAAAUUCCCCUAUUUCAGUGUUUAUAGUGUAGGAACACAUGGUCAAUCUAUUAGGAGGGGACAAUAGCACUCAAGGAUAACAGUCCAAAAGUAAAAUCAAUUUAAAGUAUAUUCUAAGAUGUAUUAUCUUUAACCUCCAGGCUUUUAUAGACUAUUAAGAAUUGUCAUUUUGCUAGACAGAUUACCAGCUAUUUGCACACAUGUCAACAACAAUCUAUAUAGUCCACAACACAGUAAAGUAUUCCAGUAUCAAAGUAGUUGUGUUCUAUUGAAAAAAAUUAAAUUUUGAUUUAUGAUCACUUUAAUGUCUGUAUAGACAAUUAUAGUUGCUUUAAAUGUUGAGCAUUCCACUGGCAGCAAUUACUUAUUAGCUAUAUAUGAAAAUAUAGUUCUUGUGAGUCUGUAGCCACAUAGCCCAGCAUUUUUAAGUGGAAUGGGAUGGUCUAUCACACUCCAGUUUGGGCAUUUCUCACUUUCCUAUUAAAUGACAUUAUUUGAAGCAGGCCAUCAUUUGACUGUGAGUUGUAGAGUCAACUGAGUAUUCCUAAGUAAGGCAGUGGAUAUCUCUCUCGUGCAUAUUUACUCUGUGUGUGUGUAUGUGUAUGUAUAUAUAUAUAUAUAUAUAUAUAUUUUGUCAUUAACAAAAUCAUACCUAUAGCUGGUCUUGAUUUUUUUUUUACUCAUUGGUCACCAACAAUUAACAGAAAAAAAUAGAAUCUUUGGCACCAAAAUUAUUUCUAAUAAGUGCUUCAUUUUUGAUAUUUAAAAAUAGAAAGUCAUUUUAUUUUUGGUAUUUUUGAACCUGAAACAGAAAUCAGCUCAAAUAACUGUCCUUCAAUGGUACAUACUUUGAUGCCUCCAUAUCCUUCAGAAAUAGCAAAGUCCCAUCAAGUAAAAGCCCACAUGACACCUGCUGCUUCCUACUGGGGAAAAGGAGAAUGAGCAUCUGAAAAGGACCCCCAGAGAUUCUGACAUGCUGGUAUGGAGUGGGGUGCCUGACUGCUCACUCUUCUUUCACUCCAUCCUACUGAAGACAAUGAUCUCAAAUUAGAUCUAAAAAUGGCUCUUUGUUCUUGCUUUUAUGUUUGUGCCUUUCAUUUAUAAAGAGUUAUUAAAACCAGGAAAAUCCAACCAGUAAGAGUAAGUGUGCUACCAUAAUAAAAAAUCCACUAAUAAUUUCAAGUACAUACUUAUACUGUAUAUAUCUAACAUGAGUUCUGGCAAAAUCUUAGGUGCUAAAUGUAAUGCUACAUUUUCAUUCACCUAUACUAUGAUAUAAACUAUGUAACUUAAGUCAAAUUAUUCUAAUUUACUUCAGGGUUUCUUUUUGUCUGUUUUAAUGUGAAUCCUUUCAUUUAUUUAGGAUUAAAAUGUAAGUUCUGGAUCAUUUGUACUCCAGGAGCCCAGCUGAACUUCAGUCACCAAAAUGUGAGACUGAGCAUCUGAGAAUCAUUCUGCUCGACCACAUCUCCUAGCUACUCUACUGCUCUGGUCAUAUCAUGUUCAUGCAUCCUUUACCACUGAAUUCAUAUGUUGGACUCCGAAUCCACAAGAGGAUUGCAUUCAGAUUGGCCUUUGGGAACAAUUAGAUCAUGAGGAAAGAGCCUUCUUAAGUGGGCACAGUGCCCUUACAAAGGCUCCAGAGAACUAGUUGGUCACUUGAACACUGUGAGGACACAAAGAGAAGGUGGCAGUCUGUGAACCAGGAAUGGGUAUUUACCAGACACCAAAUGUGCCAGUGCCUUCAUCUUGAACUUUCCUGCCUCUAGAACUAUAAGCAAUAUAUUUCUGCUGUUUAUAAGCUUCCUGGUUUAUGGUA
rnacentral:lncRNA from 1 species